rnacentral:rRNA from 1 species
GACGAACGCUGACGGCGUGCUUAACACAUGCAAGUCGAACGGUGAAGCGCCUUCCUUUUUGGUGGGUGUGGAUGAGUGGCGAACGGGUGAGUAACACGUGAGUAACCUGCCCCCUUCUUCUGGAUAACCGCAUGAAAGUGUGGCUAAUACGGGAUAUUCUGGGUCUGUCGCAUGAUGGGUCUGGGAAAGAUAUUGUUUCGGUGGGGGAUGGGCUCGCGGCCUAUCAGCUUGUUGGUGGGGUGAUGGCCUACCAAGGCGGUGACGGGUAGCCGGCCUGAGAGGGUGGACGGUCACACGGGGACUGAGACACGGCCCAGACUCCUACGGGAGGCAGCAGUGGGGAAUAUUGCACAAUGGGCGCAAGCCUGAUGCAGCGACGCCGCGUGAGGGAUGGAGGCCUGCGGGUUGUGAACCUCUUUCGCCAGUGAAGCAGGCCUGCCUCGUUUGUGGGUGGGUUGACGGUAGCUGGAGAAGAAGCGCCGGCUAACUACGUG